UAGAAUAAUAAAAGGCUGUAUAUUAAACCAUUAGUACCGUAAAAAUGAUGGACUAGUUUCAUUUAUUAGGGAAAAGGGUAGAAGAAUUUCUAUAAAAAAAAACGAAGUGAAUUGAAGUAUCUUAUUAGCUUCAGGAAAAUAAAUCAAACGAGAUUCUAUUAGUAGUGUGAAUGAAAAUAGAUAUAGGCUUAAAGUAAAAUGGAUUAAUCUGUUUGAAUAUAGGGGAACCUUCCUCUAAGCCUUAAUAUAAUAUACAAGAAAUAGAGAAUAGUACUGUGAAGGAAGUAUGUAAAAUAGUAGUCUUAUAAGCAGCUCAAGGUAAGUUUAAUAAACAUAUGAGAGCGUACCUUUUGUAUAAUGGGUCAGCAAGUUCUAGUUAGAUGCAAGCAAGUAGUGAUUAGUGGUGAUAGAUUAAAUUUAAGAAAUUAAAUUGAAGAAACAUAAUUUUAAUACACAAAAAAGAAUCAAUUUGCCUAGAUAAUCCAAUUAUUAAGUAAUGAAUUAGUAUCUAAUUAGAGACCCGAAGAGUAGUGAUCUUACCAUGGUCAGGCUUAUAAAAGGCCGAAUGGGUUAUCGUUGUAAAGAUAUCCAAAGAACUGUGGUAAGUUAGUGAAAGACAAUCCUGACUACUAUAGCUGGUUUUCCGCGAAACAUAUGUAAGUAUGUAGUUUAAAUAACAUCAUAGCAGGUACAGAACUGUGAUCUCGGACAAAUUAUGUUGUUUUCUAUAUUUUUUUUCUUCGUGACGUAAUUUAAAAAAUACUAGAAGAAAAAAAAAGACGAUAGCAACAUGGUUUUGUAUACAUCGGGGAAUCGUGAAGAUUUUAUCGGCGAGAAUUUGCUCUCGGAAGGGCAAUGAUGGAUUUUGCAUAAUCGGACAUAGUACGAUAAGGUUGUGUGUCUAAAGGGAAACAGCCCAGAACAAGAGUAAAGGUUCCCAAAUUAUUGUUAAGUGAAAUUAAGGAUGUUUAGUUAAAAUACGGCCAGGAAAUUGGCUUAGAAGCGGUCCAUUUUUUGAAGAUCUCGUAACAGAGCACUGGUUUAGUAUAUUAUUUACAUUAAUUUGAGCACCGAAGAUUUAACGGAUCUAAACAAUAUACCGACACCCUUGUCCAUAAAAAUAUAAUAUUUAAUGGGGUAGCAGAACGUUGGGUAAACAUUUAUUGUUUUUAAUAAUAAAUAUAUGAUAACCCAAGUGAUAAUGCUGACAUGAGUAACGAAAAAGGGGAUAUACCCUCGCCUAAAGCUUAUGGUAUUUUAAAAUAAGUAACGGCCUCUAAGUUUACCAACCUAAAGGAUUAAACGAUGAGAAAAUCUUUUAGUUCAUUAGUAACAACCUUCCUUCUUAUAAGAAAAGUUGAGGGAGGUUCUGGAAAAACCGUGACCUAUCUUUAAGAUAAAAACCGUACCUAAAUACCACCGACGGUAAGCUAGUAGAGAAUACGAAGGCGUUUGAGUGAACAAUCCUUAAGGAACUCGGCAAACUAACUACCGUAACUUCGGAAUAAGGAGUGCCAUUCCUCUUCAUUAAUAUGAGGUAAAGAAUAGGAAGCAUGGAAUAGUGUUGUACGACUGUUUAAUUAAAACAAAGCACUCCGCAAUAAGAUAAUAAAUCAAAGUAUUGAGUGUGAUUUCUGCCCGAUGUCGGCCGGUUAACGGAUUUUCUAAGUUGACUAAUAUAAGCUUGGUUUUGAUGGAAACCCCGAUCAAUGGCGGCCUUACCUAUGAGGGUCCUAAGGUAGCGGAAUACCUUGGCCGUUAAAUGCGGUCUUGCAUGAAUGAUUUAACGAUACAACAGCUGUCUCAAGGAUUGGCUCAGUGAAAUUGGAAUAACUGUGCAGAUACAGUUUACCUCUAGAUAGACGAGAAGACCCUAUGCAGCUUUACUGUUACUAGUUAUUAGAUAUGAUAAACAGCAUUUUUAGUGCAUAAGGUAGGUCUUAAUUGACCGAAAUUGAAACACCUUUAUUUAGUUUUUCAUAUUGGUAAAUAUAAUUUACGUGAUAAAUAUACUAUCAUUUCCAAAAGAGAGGAACGAUGACUAGGAGGCAGUUUAUGCGGGGCACAGAUCCCAUAAAAAGUACCUGGGUGUAUCCAAAGUUAAUUUUGUAAUUUGGUUAUAAUUUCGUUAUAACAAAUCUAUAAGGGUCUAGCUGCCUAAAUAUGAGCCAGCCGUCGAAGCUAAGGGCUAACCCUCUUUAGGUUUUUUUAGUUUGUUAUUAGAGAUAGCUCUUCUUAGAACUAUUACCAAUCCACCUAUAUAUCUAUUGAGUUAGAACUAAAUUUUUUAAUCAAGUAAGAUUUUAUCUAUAUUGAAAAUAGAUGUAAAACUAUGUUAUAUUUUCUUCUGGGCCAGCUUAGUACCAGAGGCUGCACUGGUCUUCUAGCCGAGGUCUUCUAGAGCUAGCCAGGUUCUAAGCUAGCUUAGAACCAGGCAGAUCCUUUUCUUACCACUGAAAACACAGGCAAGGAGGUAGCCCGGCCACUAUUGUUGCAAAGGCAGAGCUGCGGGCUGGUUCUCUGCCGGCAAACAAGAGGCGGU
rnacentral:rRNA from 1 species